CGAGAAAGCCCGCAAGGGUGAGUAAAGCGGCGCACGGGUGCGUAACACGUGGGUAAUCUGCCCAGGAGUUCGGGAUAACUCGCCGAAAGGCGUGCUAAUACCGGAUAAGACCACGGGAGCUUCGGCUCCUGCGGGAAAAGGUGGCCUCUGUAUACAAGCUAUCACUCCUGGAUGAGCCCGCGGCCCAUCAGCUCGUUGGCGGGGUAACGGCCCACCAAGGCUACGACGGGUAGCUGGUCUGAGAGGACGAUCAGCCACACUGGAACUGAGACACGGUCCAGACUCCUACGGGAGGCAGCAGGUGGGAAUCUUGCGCAAUGGGCGAAAGCCUGACGCAGCAACGCCGCGUGUGUGAUGAAGGUCUUCGGAU
rnacentral:rRNA from 1 species